rnacentral:rRNA from 1 species
UACGGGGGGGGGCAAGCGUUGUCCGGAAUCAUUGGGCGUAAAGGGCGCGUAGGCGGCCAUUCAAGUGACGGGUGAAAGCCCUCGGCUUAACCGAGGAACUGCCUGUCAGACUGGAUGGCUUGAGACCGGGAGAGGUGAGUGGAAUUCCCAGUGUAGCGGUGAAAUGCGUAGAUAUUGGGAGGAACACCAGUGGCGAAGGCGGCUCACUGGACCGGAACUGACGCUGAGGCGCGAAAAGCGUGGGGGAGCAAACAGG